rnacentral:rRNA from 1 species
GUAGGGAAUAUUGCGCAAUGGACGAAAGUCUGACGCAGCAACGCCGCGUGGGUGAUGAAGCAUUUCGGUGUGUAAAACCCUGUCAGUGGGGAAGAAAAGUAUCAGGAGUAACUGCCUGGUACCUGACGGUACCCGCAGAGGAAGUCCCGGCUAACUCCGUGCCAGCAGCCGCGGUAAUACGGGGGGGACAAGCGUUGUUCGGAUUUACUGGGCGUAAAGGGCGCGUAGGCGGGCCUUCAAGUCGGAUGUGAAACCUGGCGGCUUAACCACCAGCCUGCAUUCGAUACUGUCGGUCUUGAGUAUGGGAGAGGAGAAUGGAAUUUCAGGUGUAGCGGUGAAAUGCGUAGAUAUCUGAAAGAACACCAGUAGCGAAGGCGGUUCUCUGGACCAAUACUGACGCUAAAGCGCGAAGGCUUGGGGAGCAAACAGGAUUAGAAACCCUGGUAGUCC